UCACUGUGCCUUAGAAGGCAGGAUAUAUAGCAGAUGCUCCUUGGACAGAAUUCCUUCCCUUAUUCAGCGCAUGCUUAUGAAUGCCUCCCCUGAGCCAGGCAAGCUUGAGAUGCUAGGAAUUCAGCUGUGGAAGUUCAGCUCUCAAGAAGCUCACAUCUAGGGUGCGGAGUUAGAGAAAUCAGACCGGCACAUGAUACAGAAGGGACUAGGUGCUAUGGAGAGACGUGAGCUGGGGAGGGGAUAGCCUGUGUUGGGGUGGAGGCUGCUGCUUUAGAGAGAUGAGGGAAGGCCACUGGAAUCUGAUGCUGAGCAGAGAUCAGGGAUUUUAUAUAAGGGAAGUGAGGGAGUGAGUCGUGGCCACCUGAGGAGAGCAUUCCAGGAUAAGGAAACAGCAGGUGCAAAGGCACUGCUGCAGGGAGGUGCUUGGUAUAUCCAGGGAGUGUGGAGAAGUCCCGUGUGGUGGCUGCAGAGGGAGCAGGGGGAGGAUGGUGGGAGGUGAGAAUGGAGACCUCUGAGGUAGGUCCUCGAGAGCCUUAGAGGCCACGCGAAUUGCAUGGGACCCACUGGAGGGAGCCAUUCCCAGAGCCAUGACAGGUUGGGACCUGCCUGCAAAGGACCACAUUCUGGCCGUGGGGAAGGGCAGAAGCAGGAGACCAAUUUGGAGGCUGGGACCUGGGGCCUGGGGCCUAGGACAGGCAUGGUGAGCAGUGGUCAGUUUCUGAAUCCAUUCUCAGGGUAGACACAAUAGGACUGGUGAUUGAUUGAAUAUGAGAUGUGAGACAAAGACAAAUGCCAAGGACGGCUCCAAGGGUUUUUCCUGAACAGCUGCCAGGAUGAAGUUGGCAUUUAUUUAGGUGGAGGAAGAAAGGAAGGAGCAGGUUUGGGAGCUGGAGAUAGAGAUUCGUUUUUGAAAGUGUUAAUUUGAGAUGUUCAAUUAGACACAGAGUGGAGAUGCCAAAUAGACAAUUAUACAGGAGUCUGGUGCUGAGUGUUGAGGUCUGGGAUGGAGACAUCACCCUGAGGGUCCUUGGCAUUUAAAUGCUGUUUAAAACCAGGAGGCUAGAUGAGCUCACCAAGGGAGAGGGAAGGGAUAGAAGAGGGAGAGGGUCUGAGGACUCAGCCCUGGAGCAUAGAUAAUUAACAGGCAGAUGGGGAGAAACUGGGAGAGGGGACUGAGAAGGAACAGCAGGCAAGAGAAAGAGGGCUAAGGGAGAGCCAUGACCUACAAUCAGGUCAAGAAGCAUUUCUACAGGAGAGAUUUAUGCUGCCGAUCUUCCAAUAGAUCAAGUAGCGUGGAGACCACUGAGACCCAGCCACUGGAGACCAUUAGCCUAGGGAGGUCAUUGGUGUCCUUGCCAAGCCCUGUUUUGGUUCUGGGUCCAGGAGACAGAGUGUAGUCAGAGGAGAGGAAUCACAGACAGCCCAGUGCAGACAACAGGCAACUCUUUCAAGGAGUCAUCUUAUAAAGGCUGAAAGCUCCAUGGUUUUUUGGUCCCUGCAGCAACUAGAACAGUACCUGGCAGACACAAGACACGUAAUACAUAUUUUUGAAUGAGGAACUUGGCUCCAGAAGCCAUGAGAAUAACUUUGUUCCAACACAUUCAGGCUGCGGUCAGAAAGGGUGAGCUGGAAGCAGUGAGCUGGGAGAUAAUGAAACCAAAACACCAUUAUCAGGAAGCUUGAGAACAAGGCCACCUUUUAAGUAUCUAGAAAUUCCCAUUAAUUUCUUCCACACCUUGUUCCCCAUCCCACCUGAAGACUGAAGCUGAGAGGCUUUUUUCCCAGUCAUCUUGACCACAAGAUCAGUUCUCUCCGUGAACAUAAAGACAAAAUCGCUGUGACACCAACAGACAGAUUUUUUAACAAGUGGAAUCCAUGUCUCAUGUAAACAAUGUGCUACUGCCUGCCAUUGAGUUCUCUUCCCUCGUUUUCCUUUUUGAAGACUUAACCCCUUUCCCAAAGGGACAUGUGCUCAGGUUUCUUGACUCCACAGCAAUCCCUUCUGUUGUGUAAGGCAAACUGAUCACCUUUCACAACGAGACAAGAAGUGAUUUAAAUCAGAUGGUGACCCAAUGACAAUGUCUGUGCUGUGUCCUAUGGAGAAAACCAAAGCUGAAAUCCAGUAACAGGUGAUAGGAAGAUGUGGAGAUAGAAACUGACCUGAAUUCUGAAAAACAACAAGAGAAAAGGAAGUCUGAGAACAAGCUGGUGUUCUUCCAAAACCUGUUCAUUGUGUGAAUUCCUAGAAGAUAGCGUGACACCGAGAAACAGGCUGGAGUGACACACCCAAACAAUUAUGCUACCUGGAUCUGCCAAGGCAGGAGGACAAACUCAGCAGCCUGGAGAAUGGAGGACACAGUCCAGAGUUGGUGAGCCAAGUUUUCUUCUGUUUGUUUUGCUGUUGCUGUUUUUGUUCUUGUUGACCUAUUGAGUUCUAUGAUGAGACCAAACGUUUAAUAAUUGUCUUCUAUUCUAAAACUUGUCUCUCAGCAACAACAGCAGCAAUUACUUUUGACCACUCACUAUCGGAAAACACUGCUUUAGGCUGUGGAAAUGCAGUAGUAGAAAAGCCAGGCAUAAUCCUUAUCCCCAUGGAGGCACUAUCUCCAUCCAAGGGCAGAGGACCUGCAAGCCCUGAGGUCUCCAGCUGAGGUUCCUCUCUGAAGGACAGUUGCACUUCAGGUCAUGCUGCAGUAUGAGAGAAGGCAGCGUGACAUCUUGAGUUUCUAAUGCUCACACCUGUCUCAGUGAAGCAUUUUUACAGAGUAAUCACCACCCCCCUCACACCCCCAACAAUGUCAUCAAGUCAUAAAUCUCCUUGGUUUGAAAUAUU
rnacentral:lncRNA from 1 species